UAGGCUGGGUGAAGAUGAAAUUCACUGAGGAGGGAAGGCCUGGGUCUGCAGCACCCUGUGUGCCAGUCCAGAACUGGCCUAUCUACAGACCCCCUGAAAAUCAAAUGGGCUUGGAUUUGGACAUUCUCAAUAAAAAGGGUUAAAGGCUGAUGGGAUCUAAAGCCUGGUACUUGAAUUUUGAGCAAGAUAAGCUGCCUUAAGUUCUCUUCAUUACACAGACGAUCCUAGGUAAUUGAUAGAUCCUGUGGUUCAACUUGAUUUCUAGAUAGAAGCUGGAUUCAUGUGAUGCCAGAGAAGUAAAAUUCCAAGAGACCGAAACCAGAGCUGAGUCUCACUGUUCCAGUCUGGACCUCUUUGGUGCUGUAAAUCCUGUAUAUACAGUAGAUGAUUAUUGCAUUUUGCUUUUAUGGACUCUCUUCAGCUUCUGGAGACCUCACUAUCCUAUUAUGUCUUUGUGUGAAGACAUGCUGCUUUGUAAUUAUCGAAAGUGUCGCAUCAAACUCUGGCUAUGCAUGGGUCACUGCCUGCUCUCACAUCUUCUGUGAUCAACAUGGCAGUGGUGAGUUAAGUUGCUCACCAGCUAUCUGUGAUGCCUGAAAGGUACCCUUUCUGGAAAGCUAGAUAUUGUCCACACAGAACUCAGUCCAUCAGAGAAAUAUAAAGCUAUGGUAUUGGCAGGACUGCGACAAGAGAUCGUGUAGGACAUUAACUCCCGAGCAGUGGCCUUCGGGACAUAUCAGGUACAUCAGGAACGUCUCUAUCAAGAACACAAUUUCAUCAAGGCUGAGGGCCAUCUGAAACAGACGGAUAAGAUAUAUACUCAGCAAAUACAAAGCAAGGAUGUAGAAUUGACCUCUAUGAAAGGGGAGGUCACCUCCAUGAAGAAAGUGCUAGAAGAAUACAAGAAAAAGUUCAGUGACAUCUCUGAGAAACUUAAGGAACGCAAUCUUCAGUAUCAAAAGCUCCAAGGCCUCUAUGACAGCCUUAGGCUAUGUAACAUCCCUAUUGCUAACCAUGAAGGCACCUUGAACCAUCUGUGAUUGCACAGUCUGGUGUUUUUGGCUUCCCAUUAGGAAUAACAACUCCAAGUUUCCUUUGGAUAGUACACCUGUUUGAAAUCGGGGCGAUGGAAAUUUUCAGUUUAGACCAUUUUUUUGUAGGCUCUCCCAUAGCACCUGAACCCAGCAACAGCUUAUUUAGUUUUGCCUCUCCGAGUGGCGAAUUAGAGCAGCAGCAAGUUUCUAGCAGGGCCUUCAAAGUAAAAAGAAUUUGA